rnacentral:rRNA from 1 species
UUCUGCCCCGUAGUUUUCGUCCGCUUCGGCGGUUUACGUUUACUUCGCGGCUUUUUCUGGUUAUUUUAGGCCCCGGUCUAUUUUAUCCAGUUAAUUACUUUGAGAAAAUUAGAGUGCUUCAAGCAGGCUUUUGCCUUGAAUACUUCAGCAUGGAAUAAUAAAGUAGGACUUUGGUUCUAUUUUGUUGGUUUCGUGAACCAAAGUAAUGGUUAAUA